rnacentral:rRNA from 1 species
UACGAAGGGGGCUAGCGUUGCUCGGAAUUACUGGGCGUAAAGCGCACGUAGGCGGAUUGUUAAGUCGGGGGUGAAAGCCCGGAGCUCAACUCCAGAACUGCCUUUGAUACUGAAGAUCUUGAGUUCGGGAGAGGUGAGUGGAACUGCGAGUGUAGAGGUGAAAUUCGUAGAUAUUCGCAAGAACACCAGUGGCGAAGGCGGCUCACUGGCCCGAUACUGACGCUGAGGCACGAAAGCGUGGGGAGCAAACAGG